GGAGAGUUGGCUGAGUGGUCUAAGGCGCACGACUGGAAAUCGUGUGUACGUUAAUAGCGUACCUAGGGUUCAAAUCCCUAACUCUCCGCCA
rnacentral:tRNA from 3 species